GUGAACGCUGGCGGUAGGCCUAACACAUGCAAGUCGAACGGCAGCACAGUAAGAGCUUGCUCUUACGGGUGGCGAGUGGCGGACGGGUGAGGAAUACAUCGGAAUCUACUUUUUCGUGGGGGAUAACGUAGGGAAACUUACGCUAAUACCGCAUACGACCUACGGGUGAAAGCAGGGGAUCUUCGGACCUUGCGCGAUUGAAUGAGCCGAUGUCGGAUUAGCUAGUUGGCGGGGUAAAGGCCCACCAAGGCGACGAUCCGUAGCUGGUCUGAGAGGAUGAUCAGCCACACUGGAACUGAGACACGGUCCAGACUCCUACGGGAGGCAGCAGUGGGGAAUAUUGGGCAAAGGGCGCAAGCCUGAUCCAGCCAUACCGCGUGGGUGAAGAAGGCCUUCGGGUUGUAAAGCCCUUUUGUUGGGAAAGAAAAGCAGCAGGUUAAUACCCCGCUGUUCUGACGGUACCCAAAGAAUAAGCACCGGCUAACUUCGUG
rnacentral:rRNA from 1 species